GGUGUUGCGCCGGGCUUGAACGGAUAACUCUGAUGACGUUAAUCACGAGACAUAAAAUCUCCAUCACCU
rnacentral:tRNA from 1 species